rnacentral:rRNA from 1 species
CGGACGGGUGAGUAACGCGUGGAAAACCUGCCGUAUACUGGGGGAGUGACACUUAGAAAUAGGUGCUAAUACCGCAUAAGCGCACAGCUUCGCAUGAAGCGGUGUGAAAAACUCUGGUGGUAUACGAUGGUUCCGCGUCUGAUUAGCUAGUUGGUGGGGUAAUGGCCUACCAAGGCAACGAUCAGUAGCCGGCCUGAGAGGGUGAACGGCCACAUUGGGACUGAGACACGGCCCAAACUCCUACGGGAGGCAGCAG